rnacentral:ncRNA from 1 species
CAACGGGGUGCCUUUUUAGGCUGAGAAAAACCCGUGGAACCUGAUCCAGAUAAUACUGGCGUAGGGAUUUGAG